GCAAUGCCUUCACCCAAGUCUGUUUCAGUUAGUUCAAUGGACACGGCAACACUGACUCCUUUGAGUCUUGGUUCACCAUCAUUGACAUUGCCUACUGUCUCAACACCACCCAUGUCUCCCUUGACAGUAGCCUCUUCAUCCCCCAAGAGUGGAGGGUUAUGGCAGAAUAAAGUUAACCUCAACCCACCCGCUUUGCAGCUCCCAGGAAGUAGGCUAAA
rnacentral:misc_RNA from 1 species